rnacentral:rRNA from 1 species
AGAGUUUGAUCCUGGCUCAGAGCGAACGCUGGCGGCAUGCUUAACACAUGCAAGUCGCACGGUCAGGUAACUGGCAGUGGCGGACGGGUGAGUAACGCGUAGGUAUCUGUCCAUGGGUGGGGGAUAACCUUGGGAAACUAAGGCUAAUACCGCAUGAAACCUGAGGGUCAAAGGCGCGAGUCGCCUGUGGAGGAGCCUGCGUACGAUUAGCUAGUUGGUGGGGUAAAGGCCUACCAAGGCGACGAUCGUUAGCUGGUCUGAGAGGAUGAUCAGCCACACUGGGACUGAGACACGGCCCAGACUCCUACGAGAGGCAGCAGUGGGGAAUUUUGGACAAUGGACGCAAGUCUGAUCCAGCCAUGCCGCGUGCGGGAAGAAGGCCUUCGGGUUGUAAACCGCUUUUGUCAGGGAAGAAAAGUUCUGGGUUAAUACCCUGGGACGAUGACGGUACCUGAAGAAUAAGCACCGGCUAACUACGUGCCAGCAGCCGCGGUAAUACGUAGGGUGCAAGCGUUAAUCGGAAUUACUGGGCGUAAAGCGUGCGCAGGCGGUUCUAUAAGACAGAUGUGAAAUCCCCGGGCUCAACCUGGGAACUGCAUUUGUGACUGUAGAGCUGGAGUACGGCAGAGGGGGAUGGAAUUCCGCGUGUAGCAGUGAAAUGCGUAGAUAUGCGGAGGAACACCGAUGGCGAAGGCAGCUUGCUACCCGAAUAUUGACACUGAGGCACGAAAGCGUGGGGAUCAAACAGGAUUAGAUACCCUGGUAGUCCACGCCCUAAACGAUGGAUACUCGACAUACGCGAUACACAGUGUGUGUCUGAGCGAAAGCAUUAAGUAUCCCACCUGGGAAGUACGACCGCAAGGUUGAAACUC